GUGCCAGCCGCCGCGGUAAUACGGAGGGUGCAAGCGUUGUCCGGAUUUAUUGGGUUUAAAGGGUGCGUAGGCGGCCUUAUAAGUCAGUGGUGAAAGCCCAUCGCUCAACGAUGGAACUGCCAUUGAUACUGUAAGGCUUGAGUACAGACGAGGUAGGCGGAAUUGAUGGUGUAGCGGUGAAAUGCAUAGAUACCAUCAAGAACACCGAUUGCGUAGGCAGCUUACUAGGCUGUAACUGACGCUGAGGCACGAAAGCGUGGGGAGCGAACAGGAUUAGAAACCCCCGUAGUCC
rnacentral:rRNA from 1 species